rnacentral:rRNA from 1 species
AAUGAACGCUGGCGGCAUGCCUAACACAUGCAAGUCGAACGAGACCUUCGGGUCUAGUGGCGCACGGGUGCGUAACCCGUUGGAACCUGCCCUUAGGUUCGGAAUAACUCCCCGAAAGGGGUGCUAAUACCGGAUAACGUCUUCGGACCAAAGAUUUAUUGCGUUGGGAUGGGCCCGCGUUUGAUUAGCUAGUUGGUAGGGUAAAAGCCUAUCAAGGCGACGAUUCCAAGCUGGGUGGAGAGGAUGAUCAGCCACACUCGGACUAGGAAGCGGCCCAGACUCUUACGGGAGGGAGGAAUGGUGAAUAUUGGAAAGUGGGCGGAAUGAUGAUGCAGCUAUGACGCGGAAGUUAUGAAGGUCUUAGGGUUGUAAAGCUCAUUUACCCGGGAUGAUAAUGACAGUACCGGGAGAAUAAGCCCCGGCUAACUACGUG